rnacentral:lncRNA from 1 species
AGUUCCUUCUCCUUGGUAUUAAUCAGUCCAAGAAAGCAGCCUGGACUGAUUGCUGCCAUUGAGCUUUGUGCUGAAUUUACCAGCUGAUCACCAUCUCUUCUCUUCAUGCCAUGAAUUGGCAGCAGGGAGUGUGUUGUGUAAACUUCACGUUAUCCUCAAAACCCUGGCAACCGCAGUGAUGCAGCAAGAAAAUAUUUGGAAUCUUUGGGAGGUGCUGCAACAGGCAGCCCUGCCUGGCACUGGGAAACUCUGCUGAGGGCAGGCAGGCCAGGAGUUGUGUGCCCCACCAAGGGUGGGGACAGAUGUCUCAGCCUCCCUGGUCUGACCAGGUCCUGAAGCCCUUGGGACACCAGGCAUUUCCCCUUGACAAACAGGAUUGGUCACAACUUGCCAGCCUUCCCAUUUCUAUUAUUCCUGUAUCCAUUUAGUCAAGAAAACACAGGCUACUUCAUGGUGCAGUGCUUUCCUACUGCAGAAUGGAGCCUUUGCAGAGCCAGCGUCUUUCUUGAUGUGUAAGUAGAUGGACUCUAAUAAAUCCAGGGUACAAUGAAUCAUUUGCACUUGGUGCCUGACCUCCUUGGUGUCUUUAGUUUUUAGUUUGGCAGCCUUAUGGAGAGAAUUAGCCUAUCUCACUUAUAUUGAAAUGUAUACAUAAUCUGAAUCCUGUAAAAUCAAUAUUCAUUAUUCAAGGUGACAACAGAGCUCAAAUGAGUCCUUCAGCUAUAUCAAGAGUAUCAGGACGAUCACAUGUUACUUGGAUUAGCGACCUCAUGCAGCCGCACGGUUUCCCCGCGUGGGCAGGGCGGCAGGCCCGGUGCCGAGGAGCGCGGCCCGAGGCUCCGGAGCGGAUCCCGCCCUGCCCGGUGCCCCGGGAGCGCCUCCAUUGCGCCAGAGCUCCGCAAGUGCAGGUCAUCCAGCCUCUGCAAUCUUGCUGCUGGAGAGGUAAAGAAUUAGCUCUCCUGCCUUGCCCAGCACCAUCUUCAUCACACUCCUGAGCAGCACAGGCUGCAACCAGGAGCACAGCACAUUGUGGUGGCUUCCCUGUCCCUGUGAUGUGAACACCCUGGAUGCCACAGACAGGAGAGGACAAGGAGAGAGCUAGGAGAGACUGCUUGUGCUGCAUACCAAGGAGCUUGUUCCUCCUUUCUCAGAGCUGAAGAUACCUUGGGUUAGAAGAGCCUUCUGUAGGCAUCUGGAGAACAGUUUGUGAAGUGUUACAAUGUGAAAACUAUGCCCAAAGGUCCCAAGCUUGCUCCUGUUUAGCUUCCUUGAGUCCUGGAUUAAGAGCCACAUGUGGUCAUGAAAUGCCAGAGACCCAGAGCUCUUUCAGCCUGCCUGAGUGGUGUCAGUGUGGGAAACUUACACACCUGAUCUUUCCUUCUCCUGUGUGUUAUUUGUGUUUAGCAGGCUGUAUUCUGCCUUCAUCAUGUGCCAUUGUGUGUUUAUACAUUUUACACAUCCAUUUGGAAGCAAGAACCAGUGCCACAGGACUUACCAACCAGCCACGCUCUCUAGCAGAGCACCCAAGCAAGCUGCAUUGAAAACCAUCCAGAGAUUGAAAUAGAAUGGCAGAAAAGUCUCAGGAAAAUGCCCUGCUACAAAGACAUUGGAAAAUCAAGGUUGUUUCAUGGCUUGUUUGUGAGCAGGAAGCAAAACCAUCCUGAUUUGGUGCCUCUGAAGAGGCCAGCAGAACUGGGAUGCAUGUUGCAGGACUUGGCGUGCAGGAAUUCAUGAACCAUAAGGCCUUGUCAAAACUAAUUUUUAAAUAAAAUGCAGUGUCCUAGCA